rnacentral:rRNA from 1 species
GAAUUUUGCGCGAUGGGGGAAACCCUGACGCAGCAACGCCGCGUGGGUGAUGAAGCAUCUUGGUGUGUAAAGCCCUGUCAACGGGGACUAAGGUAUGGCGUUGAAUAGACGUUGUGCUUGAAUGUACCUGUGGAGGAAGCCCCGGCUAACUCUGUGCCAGCAGCCGCGGUAAUCCAGAGGGGGCAAGCGUUAUUCGGAAUUAUUGGGCGUAAAGGGCGCGUAGGCGGCUUGGUCAGUGGAAAGUGAAAGCCCUCGGCUUAACCGAGGAACUGCUUACCAUACUGCUAAGCUAGAGGAUGGGAGAGGAGAGUGGAAUUCCCGGUGUAGCGGUGAAAUGCGUAGAGAUCGGGAGGAACACCAGUGGCGAAGGCGGCUCUCUGGACCAUUACUGACGCUGAGGCGCGAAAGCGUGGGGAGCAAACAGG